UACGUAGGGGGCAAGCGUUGUCCGGAUUUAUUGGGCGUAAAGAGCGUGUAGGCGGUUUGGUAGGUCCGCUGUGAAAACUCGAGGCUCAACCUCGAGACGCCGGUGGAAACCAUCAGGCUAGAGUCCGGAAGAGGAGAGUGGAAUUCCCGGUGUAGCGGUGAAAUGCGCAGAUAUCGGGAGGAACACCGGUGGCGAAGGCGGUUCUCUGGGCCUUACCUGACGCUGAGGAGCGAAAGCGUGGGGAGCGAACAGG
rnacentral:rRNA from 1 species